GUUCUUCCUUUGAAAGCCAAAAGGGUUAUUUAUUUCUUGGUUGACUAUUCAAUUUCUCUAUUUUGCGCAACAGAACUGAAUCCCUGGGUUGACAGGACGAAAGAUGAUCAGCAGUGGUUUGACAAACAGAAUCCCUCAACUCUAAGGUUUAUUCUUUAAGAAGAAGGAAAAUAAAAAAAGAGCUUACUACCUUUUCUUGGCCUGUCCAAUCUACCUCUAACUAAAGAGUAGAUUAUAGGAGUCAACUUUAUAAUUUUCCUCUUACCUUAACAUAAGGACCUGUCCAAAAUAUAGUUAUUGGUCAAUUUAUUUAAUAGUUACUUUUCAAGUUCUUUAAUGAUGGAUUGCAGUAUGUUAAAAAACCUUCUGGUGUAUUAUUUCUUUUUGUUAUUAUAUCUUCAAGUUUAUGACUUGAAAGUUUAUUCUGAAUAGCUUUUUUAUGCUUCUUUGCCAA